CCAGUAGUAGAUCAUGCUUCUCUUCCCGGUUCAAUACAGAGAGCUGCGUGUGUGUGUUUCUUCUCCUGUUACUUUCCCCCUUUUUAAGAGUAUCGUGCUAACUGAGAAGAUGUGUAUGCUAGCAGCCGGAGAUCUCGUGUCCGAGUCCCGCCAUACACAAGUGUUGUGUGUACUUUGUCGUUGGUGUUUAAGCUAGCUACAGCUACUCCACAUAUUUUUGCUGGAAGGUUUCUUAUAUAUUUAUCACUAUAAGGGUAUGGCCCGAGCUGCUUUCAUCACCUGUGCAUGCUAUUUGACUGACAAUGACUCAUUGUGCAGUUGCAGAGCAACAUUCUUGCUCUGCUGCCUGUGCAGACUUCUCAAAGUAAAGAGCAGUGUACCUUGUGUGUUGUGAGCUGAAUCAUCAUCCAACACAGUGAGGAUGCCCACAAUAAGCUCUUUAGUCUGCUGCCUUGUGAUGACAGAAAGGAAACACAUUAAAAGUAAAU